rnacentral:rRNA from 1 species
AACGAACGCUGGCGGCAGGCUUAACACAUGCAAGUCGAGCGCCCCGCAAGGGGAGCGGCAGACGGGUGAGUAACGCGUGGGAAUCUACCCAUCUCUACGGAAUAACGCAUGGAAACGUGUGCUAAUACCGUAUACGUCCUUCGGGAGAAAGAUUUAUCGGAGAUGGAUGAGCACGCGUUGGAUUAGCUAGUUGGUGGGGUAACGGCCUACCAAGGCGACGAUCCAUAGCUGGUCUGAGAGGAUGAUCAGCCACACUGGGACUGAGACACGGCCCAGACGCCUACGGGAGGCAGCAGUGGGGAUUAUUGGACAAUGGGCGCAAGCCUGAUCCAGCCAUGCCGCGUGAGUGAUGAAGGCCCUAGGGUUGUAAAGCUCUUUCACCGGUGAAGAUAAUGACGGUAACCGGAGAAGAAGCCCCGGCUAACUUCGUGCCAGCCGCCGCAGUAAAAC